ACUCUAUACGGAGUUACAAAGGACGACAUUAGACGAAUCAUCUGGAAAGAUGAAUCAAAGAAGGUAAUAAUCCUGUAGUCGAAAAUGUUGUCUCUCUUGAGUGGAUCCUGAGUACGACGGAGCACGUGAAAUUCCGUCGGAAUCUGGGAGGACCAUCUCCUAAGGCUAAAUACUCUCUAGUGACCGAUAGUGAACCAGUACCGUGAGGGAAAGGUGAAAAGCACCCCGGAAGGGGAGUGAAAUAGAACCUGAAACCGUGUGCUUACAAGUAGUCAGAGCCCGUUAAUGGGUGAUGGCGUGCCUUUUGUAGAAUGAACCGGCGAGUUACGAUUUGAUGCAAGGUUAAGCAGUAAAUGUGGAGCCGUAGCGAAAGCGAGUCUGAAUAGGGCGUUUAGUAUUUGGUCGUAGACCCGAAACCAGGUGAUCUACCCUUGGUCAGGUUGAAGUUCAGGUAACACUGAAUGGAGGACCGAACCGACUUACGUUGAAAAGUGAGCGGAUGAACUGAGGGUAGCGGAGAAAUUCCAAUCGAACCUGGAGAUAGCUGGUUCUCUCCGAAAUAGCUUUAGGGCUAGCCUCAAGUGAUGAUUAUUGGAGGUAGAGCACUGUUUGGACGAGGGGCCCCUCUCGGGUUACCGAAUUCAGACAAACUCCGAAUGCCAAUUAAUUUAACUUGGGAGUCAGAACAUGGGUGAUAAGGUCCGUGUUCGAAAGGGAAACAGCCCAGACCACCAGCUAAGGUCCCAAAAUAUAUGUUAAGUGGAAAAGGAUGUGGCGUUGCCCAGACAACUAGGAUGUUGGCUUAGAAGCAGCCAUCAUUUAAAGAGUGCGUAAUAGCUCACUAGUCGAGUGACACUGCGCCGAAAAUGUACCGGGGCUAAACAUAUUACCGAAGCUGUGGAUUGUCCUUUGGACAAUGGUAGGAGAGCGUUCUAAGGGCGUUGAAGCAUGAUCGUAAGGACAUGUGGAGCGCUUAGAAGUGAGAAUGCCGGUGUGAGUAGCGAAAGACGGGUGAGAAUCCCGUCCACCGAUUGACUAAGGUUUCCAGAGGAAGGCUCGUCCGCUCUGGGUUAGUCGGGUCCUAAGCUGAGGCCGACAGGCGUAGGCGAUGGAUAACAGGUUGAUAUUCCUGUACCACCUAUAAUCGUUUUAAUCGAUGGGGGGACGCAGUAGGAUAGGCGAAGCGUGCGAUUGGAUUGCACGUCUAAGCAGUAAGGCUGAGUAUUAGGCAAAUCCGGUACUCGUUAAGGCUGAGCUGUGAUGGGGAGAAGACAUUGAGUCUUCGAGUCGUUGAUUUCACACUGCCGAGAAAAGCCUCUAGAUAGAAAAUAGGUGCCCGUACCGCAAACCGACACAGGUAGUCAAGAUGAGAAUUCUAAGGUGAGCGAGCGAACUCUCGUUAAGGAACUCGGCAAAAUGACCCCGUAACUUCGGGAGAAGGGGUGCUCUUUAGGGUUAACGCCCAGAAGAGCCGCAGUGAAUAGGCCCAAGCGACUGUUUAUCAAAAACACAGGUCUCUGCUAAACCGUAAGGUGAUGUAUAGGGGCUGACGCCUGCCCGGUGCUGGAAGGUUAAGAGGAGUGGUUAGCUUCUGCGAAGCUACGAAUCGAAGCCCCAGUAAACGGCGGCCGUAACUAUAACGGUCCUAAGGUAGCGAAAUUCCUUGUCGGGUAAGUUCCGACCCGCACGAAAGGCGUAACGAUUUGGGCACUGUCUCAACGAGAGACUCGGUGAAAUCAUAGUACCUGUGAAGAUGCAGGUUACCCGCGACAGGACGGAAAGACCCCGUGGAGCUUUACUGUAGCCUGAUAUUGAAAUUCGGCACAGCUUGUACAGGAUAGGUAGGAGCCUUUGAAACGUGAGCGCUAGCUUACGUGGAGGCGCUGGUGGGAUACUACCCUAGCUGUGUUGGCUUUCUAACCCGCACCACUUAUCGUGGUGGGAGACAGUGUCAAGCGGGCAGUUUGACUGGGGCGGUCGCCUCCUAAAAGGUAACGGAGGCGCUCAAAGGUUCCCUCAGAAUGGUUGGAAAUCAUUCAUAGAGUGUAAAGGCAUAAGGGAGCUUGACUGCGAGACCUACAAGUCGAGCAGGGUCGAAAGACGGACUUAGUGAUCCGGUGGUUCCGCAUGGAAGGGCCAUCGCUCAACGGAUAAAAGCUACCCCGGGGAUAACAGGCUUAUCUCCCCCAAGAGUUCACAUCGACGGGGAGGUUUGGCACCUCGAUGUCGGCUCAUCGCAUCCUGGGGCUGUAGUCGGUCCCAAGGGUUGGGCUGUUCGCCCAUUAAAGCGGUACGCGAGCUGGGUUCAGAACGUCGUGAGACAGUUCGGUCCCUAUCCGUCGUGGGCGUAGGAAAUUUGAGAGGAGCUGUCCUUAGUACGAGAGGACCGGGAUGGACAUACCUCUGGUGUACCAGUUGUCGUGCCAACGGCAUAGCUGGGUAGCUAUGUGUGGACGGGAUAAGUGCUGAAAGCAUCUAAGCAUGAAGCCCCCCUCAAGAUGAGAUUUCCCAACUUCGGUUAUAAGAUCCCUCAAAGAUGAUGAGGUUAAUAGGUUCGAGGUGGAAGCAUGGUGACAUGUGGAGCUGACGAAUACUAAUCGAUCGAAGACUUAAUCAA
rnacentral:rRNA from 1 species